rnacentral:rRNA from 1 species
AGAGUUUGAUCCUGGCUCAGAUUGAACGCUGGCGGCAGGCCUAACACAUGCAAGUCGAGCGGUAGCACAGAGAGCUUGCUCUCGGGUGACGAGCGGCGGACGGGUGAGUAAUGUCUGGGAAACUGCCUGAUGGAGGGGGAUAACUACUGGAAACGGUAGCUAAUACCGCAUAAUGUCGCAAGACCAAAGUGGGGGACCUUCGGGCCUCAUGCCAUCAGAUGUGCCCAGAUGGGAUUAGCUAGUAGGUGGGGUAACGGCUCACCUAGGCGACGAUCCCUAGCUGGUCUGAGAGGAUGACCAGCCACACUGGAACUGAGACACGGUCCAGACUCCUACGGGAGGCAGCAGUGGGGAAUAUUGCACAAUGGGCGCAAGCCUGAUGCAGCCAUGCCGCGUGUGUGAAGAAGGCCUUCGGGUUGUAAAGCACUUUCAGCGGGGAGGAAGGCGAUAAGGUUAAUAACCUUGUCGAUUGACGUUACCCGCAGAAGAAGCACCGGCUAACUCCGUGCCAGCAGCCGCGGUAAUACGGAGGGUGCAAGCGUUAAUCGGAAUUACUGGGCGUAAAGCGCACGCAGGCGGUUUGUUAAGUCAGAUGUGAAAUCCCCGGGCUCAACCUGGGAACUGCAUCUGAUACUGGCAAGCUUGAGUCUCGUAGAGGGGGGUAGAAUUCCAGGUGUAGCGGUGAAAUGCGUAGAGAUCUGGAGGAAUACCGGUGGCGAAGGCGGCCCCCUGGACGAAGACUGACGCUCAGGUGCGAAAGCGUGGGGAGCAAACAGGAUUAGAUACCCUGGUAGUCCACGCCGUAAACGAUGUCGACUUGGAGGUUGUGCCCUUGAGGCGUGGCUUCCGGAGCUAACGCGUUAAGUCGACCGCCUGGGGAGUACGGCCGCAAGGUUAAAACUCAAAUGAAUUGACGGGGGCCCGCACAAGCGGUGGAGCAUGUGGUUUAAUUCGAUGCAACGCGAAGAACCUUACCUGGUCUUGACAUCCACGGAAGUUUUCAGAGAUGAGAAUGUGCCUUCGGGAACCGUGAGACAGGUGCUGCAUGGCUGUCGUCAGCUCGUGUUGUGAAAUGUUGGGUUAAGUCCCGCAACGAGCGCAACCCUCGCCUUUAGUUGCCAGCAUUAAGUUGGGCACUCUAGAGGGACUGCCAGGGAUAACCUGGAGGAAGGUGGGGAUGACGUCAAAUCAUCAUGCCCCUUAUGCUUAGGGCUACACACGUGCUACAAUGGGUGGUACAGAGGGCAGCCAAGUCGUGAGGCCGAGCUAAUCCCUUAAAGCCAUUCUCAGUUCGGAUUGUAGGCUGAAACUCGCCUACAUGAAGCUGGAGUUACUAGUAAUCGCAGAUCAGAAUGCUGUGGUGAAUGCGUUCCCGGGUCUUGCACACACCGCCCGUCA